rnacentral:misc_RNA from 1 species
GCUGGAGAGAACCAUUUGGGUCCCAACCCCAACUAUAAAACGCGAUGGUCGCCUAUUCCUUGGCCUGUGUUUACGCAAAGAAUCCUGGAGGUUGCCCGAGGCCAAAUUUUGUUCUAUAAGAUUUGGUGACGCCAGUUUUAUCAGUUGAUAGAUCUUUCGCGGUGUUAAAGGACUUGUAGUUGCUGAUCUUUUUCUAUAUUAGGAGAUGGCAGAGGAGGGUCACAGGGUUAUCUUAAAUGUGUAUGACCUCAGCCAAGGAUUGGCACGUCGGCUUUCCACAACGUUUUUGGGUAAAGCUAUUGAGGGCAUUUGGCACACAGGAGUAGUGGUAUAUGGUAAUGAAUACUAUUUUGGAGGAGGCAUACAGCAUGACUCUGCUGGAAGAACUCCAUAUGGAACGCCAAUUCAAGUGGUAGAUUUGGGCAUCACACAUGUA